AGUACCUCUGAGCCUUGUGCAGGCACAAAGUGUGCGAUGUAAAUCAAGCAGCAAAGAACUCUCUUGUCAGGAAACUCAUUUUCUACUGGGGAAGCCAGAGGAAAAACAGGACUGCUUUGAAGAGGACUCACUAGUAUAGUUUGGCAUAAUAGAGGAGCAAUAAAUAAAGCACCUCAAGAGAAAGGAUAUUAUUUUCUACAUCGCUCACCUAACAGUGCCUGAACGUGAUAAAUACCCCCACAGUAAAUAUGUAUUAUCUUUAUUAUAACUGGGUCCUCCUAAAAUAUUGUAUGCCUUCAUUAUCUUACUUGUUUGCUUCUUUUUUUAAAAACAUGGAAGUUCCUGGGGCUUCCUUGGUGGCGCAGUGGUUGAGAGUCCGCCUGCCGAUGCAGGGGACGCGGGUUCGUGUCCCAGUCCGGGAAGAUCCCACAUGCCGCGGAGCGGCUGGGCCCGUGAGCCAUGGCCGCUGAGCCUGUGCGUCCGGAGCCUGUGCUCCGCAACGGGAGAGGCCGCAACAGUGAGAGGCCCGCGUACCGCAAAAAAAAAAAAAAAAAGGAAGUUCCAGUGUGGGUCUUCCAAAGCGGACGUUAACAGAACGAUGAAGUGUUCCACGUUGGGUCAUUCAUGACAGCACUUUUACAGUGGCUUCCUCUCCAA